rnacentral:misc_RNA from 1 species
GAUGAAGAACGUAGCGAAAUGCGAUAAGUAGUGUGAAUUGCAGAAUUCAGUGAAUCAUCGAAUCUUUGAACGCACAUUGCGCCCCUUGGUAUUCCAUGGGGCAUGCCUGUUCGAGCGUCAUUUGUACCUUCAAGCUUUGCUUGGUGUUGGGUGUUUGUCUCGCCUUUGCGUGUAGACUCGCCUUAAAAUAAUUGGCAGCCGGCGUAUUGGCCUUGGAGCGCAGCACAUUUGCGUUUCUUGUCAAUAUACGCUAGCAUCCACUAAGCCCAUCUUUAUCACUUUUGACCUCGGAUCAGGUAGGGAUACCCGCUGAACUUAAGCAUAUCAAUAAGCGGAGGA